rnacentral:lncRNA from 1 species
CAGACAACGUAAGCGCUAUGUAUGUUUUGGUAUACAAUAGAGCCUAUGGAAGUGCAUUCUCUGUCUAUAGUUACUCUGUGAUGGGCUAUACACGAGAUGCGCUCACGGAAUUUCGAACAAAAAAUUUAGUUCCAAAAUGGCCACCAGAGGGCGCCUUUUCGGGAAAAACAUGGAAUUUAGCACAAUAAACGACCAAAACGGAAUACAGAAACAAUCCAGAACAAGAAUUAUGAGUAAUAAAAUGCAAAACCGGGAAAAGCUGUCAGUUGUAGGAGAAAAAUGUCAAGAUUUGCAUGCUUGGGCAGAAGAGGAAGCUUUCUGCAAAACAGGUUAGGGGGUAAAACGUUUGCAGACGUUGUCAUGUUUAAGUCGAUGUUUCUGGCUGUACUAAUGACGGUCCCUUUAGUUGAACAUGCGUUACUGGUGAAGCUGUUUUACAAAAACAAGGGGAAUGUUUCUGCUGCAGUUUGUAAAUUUUGUCGUAGAAAGAACCUACGGCAUUGACCAAUGUCUACUAAAAGUAUCCGGGCCAUGAUUAAAUUGAAGAGACGGGGAAAUUAGGAGUUCAACCUGGAAGAGGCUGUAAACGUGUCACACUGGUACUUGUUGAUGCCGC